CCGCGGGGCCCGGGCAGCGCCGGAGGGAGCCCCGCGGGCCCGGGGGAGCGCGGCCGCCGGCCCUGCUCCGCUCCAGGGAGCCCGGCCUGGGCGGCUCGGGGGGAGCCGGGGCCGAACUGUCGCCUCUGCAGCCGCCUGGGGAGAGGGUCCGUCAGCAACAACGGGGCGUUUCGUACCUUCCUAUGGAGGUACCUUCGAGGCCGAGCUCCUAAGUUGAAGUCUGCUGAAGCGUCCUUAGUCUUUGCUGCAUAGGCCGCUAAAGCCGUCUACCUUUCAGUGGAUCCAAAAGCACGUGUUUUGGAUUGUAAGCAAGAAACAAAGAAUGAAGGAAAGCCAGGAAGUCAUCAAUCUAGGAAAAAAGUUAGAGUUUUAACUAUGGCUCCUCCCAACAACUGAUUAAAGGCUAAGACAGCAGCUUGGCUGGAAAGACUGCUUCCCUCCUGACUCCCAAGAGGAAUUCUAUUGGGAAGGGGAGAGAGCCCAAGCAAAAACAGAAGGAACGGAAUCUGACUGAUGAGCGUGGAAAAUGAAGGAACAAUUCAAGAUUUCACACACACCAACCCAUCACUUUCAACUGUUUCAUUUUUUGUAGUUGUUUCAGGCUCUGUUUAAGACUUUUGCUCCUUCUGUGGAGCACUGAGAAACUGGGAAGAGAAAGGGGAACUAACUACUCCAUCUAUCAGGAGGCUUCCCUCUGGCCCAAAGCUGUGUACACUCCCACCGGGGAUCUUCAGGGGAAGCACAUUUUGUGCUGCAGAACAUGUGCUAGUUUACAUCCUGUUUUCAUUUCUGCAGAAAAUUCACUUCCUAAACAGUAAUGGUGAGAGUUUCUGUAAUCU
rnacentral:lncRNA from 1 species